rnacentral:rRNA from 1 species
AUUGAACGCUGGCGGCAUGCCUUACACAUGCAAGUCGAACGGUAACGGGCCUUCGGGUGCCGCCGAGUGGCGAACGGGAGAGUAAUACAUCGGAACGUGCCCGAUCGUGGGGGAUAACGAGGCGAAAGCUUUGCUAAUACCGCAUACGAUCUACGGAUGAAAGCAGGGGACCGCAAGGCCUUGCGCGGACGGAGCGGCCGAUGGCAGAUUAGGUAGUUGGUGGGAUAAAAGCUUACCAAGCCGACGAUCUGUAGCUGGUCUGAGAGGAUGAUCAGCCACACUGGGACUGAGACACGGCCCAGACUCCUACGGGAGGCAGCAGUGGGGAAUUUUGGACAAUGGGCGCAAGCCUGAUCCAGCCAUGCCGCGUGCAGGAUGAAGGCCUUCGGGUUGUAAACUGCUUUUGUACGGAACGAAAAGCCUUCUUUUAAUACAGGAGGGUCAUGACGGUACCGUAAGAAUAAGCACCGGCUAACUACGUG